CGCCUGCUCAAGUCCCAAUUCGUUACGUUAACUAGCACAAAAUAGAGUUUCUCUCAUGAUUUGUCCUCGUCUCCUAGAUGAUGAGAUCUGUGAGUCGUUUUGCCUUUUAACAAGGCCACUAUCAGAGUUCAUCAUCUCUUCCACAAAGCACAAAAAUCCUUCAACACGGGUAAAUUUCAAUACGUUUAGAGCUGAAACAAAGCUCAAAUUACCCAAUAAGAUGGGAUUAUCAGUUAGGCUCCAAAAAAUAUGGCAGAGAAGAAGCUGAAGUCAAUAUAUGUUCGAGGGAAAUUGCCCAAUCAAAAAGGUUUGUUACUGGCCAAAUUCCAACAGAUCUAUCAAUCCAAGUUCAAGAUAUCACUUUUACAGUCCACAAGGUAACUUAAAUUGGACGUUUCUGCCAAGUCUUUUUCUAGUGCUCUAAUUUCAGCAUCCAACUAGUCUUCAUUUACAUCGAGGCAUAGCUUCUUUCUCCAAAGAUGACAUGUGAGAAUUGCCUAGUAAACUGCUGAAACUACAAGGGUCUUUUGCUUGGCAACUCUUCGAGCUCACAUAAGAAGAUUCGCCAACUCUUAUAAUGAAAUUGUAGAGUACAACUACAGUAGCUUAAUUCAUGAAACAUAAGGUAGUGAACAAAGUCUAUUUUCCAUACAUCACAAAACAUGAAUAACAAUUGUAACAAAACACUCACAUUGAAAUUAUUUUCCAUAUCAAUGCAUAUUUUCUUAUUCAUCUCUUUACCUCUAUCAAUCCAAGUAUACAUGUGACACAAAAGAAAUAGAAAAAUUGAUCCUAAAUAUACAAAUCUAUAUGUACCUUAAUCUAUAUUUAACUGUAUCUAAUUUACGGCCAUUCAAUAAAUAACAAAAAAAUAAACAUGUCUACAUUACUUAGACUCGGAAUACAGCCAUUUCAAGUGAUACUUCUAUAUAAUAAAUUCAUAUUGUUUGCUUAUCCAUCAUUUCUCCUGAAACAGUAUCCUUUGGUAUCAAAAUGUGGCUACAUAGGCCGUCUAGAACUUCAGCCUUCAAUUUCAAAUGAAUAUGAAAUUAAGCUUGAAAACUUCCCAGGUGGAUCAGAAAUAUUCGAAGUCAUUCUGAAGUUUUGUUAUGGUCUUCCAAUAGACUUAAACCCUAACAACAUAGUAGCACUAAGAUGUGCAUCAGAAUUCCUAGAGAUGAGUGAAGAACUUGAAGAUGGAAACCUCAUGUCAAAGACACAAGCUUUCCUCACAUUUGUCAUCCUUUCCUCAUGGAAAGAUACCAUUACUGUUCUUAAAUCUUGUGAAGCUUUAUCUCCAUGGGCAGAAAAUCUCCAAAUUAUUAGAAUAUGUUGCGACUCAGUAGCAUGGAAAGCUUCCAGAGAGAAUUCAUUAAUGGCAGACAUAGUUGAUGAAGGGGGAUCGUUGUUUGAUGAUGUAGCCACCCUUAGGAUUGAUCAUUUCAUGAGGAUUAUAACUGCAAUAAGAGCAAAAGAAGCAAGACCAGAGAUCAUAGGAAAGUGUAUAAUGUGCUAUGCAGCAAGAUGGUUGCCAGGCAUGAACAUAGAAUCAGAAGUACUAAGAAGUUAUGGGUAUGGAAAAACUGAGUUGCAGUACAGCAUCUUGAGUGGAAGGAACGAAGAUGAGGGUCUUGGACACAACAAUGAGAAAAAGACCAUUAUUGAAAGCCUGGUAAGCCUACUUCCUCCUCAACGAGAAGCUGUCCCAUGUAAGUUCUUGUUGAAGAUGUUAAAGAUGGCCAUUGUGUAUUCAGCAUCACCAUCUUUGAUUGUGGAGCUAGAGAAGAGAGUGGGGCUGACAUUGGAGAACACCAGCGUGAAUGAUCUUUUGAUUCCUAAUUACAAAAAUGAAGAUCAAGGGAAAAUGAUUGAGUGAGAACUCUAUCUUCUCUUUCUCUUUAAGAUCGUUUGACUAAGCAUGAAAAUUAGAACAUGAAAAUAGUAAAACAAGCUUCUUGUGAUAAAUCUUUUUACACUUGCUUAUUUUCAUUAGCCUAUACAACAGACAACCAGGACAACACACGAUGCACAACAUAGAUGUGGUACAACGAAUUGUGGAAUACUUUUUGAUGCAUGAACAAGAGCAGCAGCAGCAACAACUGCAACCAAUGUCAGCGAAAUCAAAUGUUAGUAAGCUCAUGGACAACUACCUAGCUGAGGUUUCAAGGGACCCAAAUCUUUCAAUUACCAAAUUUCAAGUUUUGGCAGAAGCACUACCAGAAAAUGCCCGAACAUGUGAUGAUGGUCUAUAUAGAGCCAUUGAUAUCUAUCUUAAGACUCAUCCUUCACUCUCUGAGUGCGACCGGAAAAAGCUAUGCAAAGUUAUGAACUGUGAGAAAUUAUCACUCGAAGCAAGCAUGCAUGCAGCACAAAAUGACAGGUUGCCUCUAAGAACUGUGAUUCAGGUGUUGUUCUCAAAGCAAGUAAAGAUGAGGGCAGCAAUGAGAGGGAAAGAGCCAGUAGCAAAUGGCAAUCACUCAGAACAUGAGGUAAGCCACAAAACAACAAAAACAGAGAUCAUGACCCUGAAAGAAGAACUUGAGAAUGUGAAUGCACAGAUGGCCAAACUGCAAACAGACUACUCUAAGCUGCAAUAUGAAUAUGCAAAGCUAAACAACAAGCAUAGAAAUUUCUUGGGCUGGAGUCUCAGCUGGAAAAAGAUCAGGAAAUCAGCUUUUUUCAAUAGAAAAAUAGAUGGGCCUGAAUCCAGUGAAGCACAGCAGAUAUCUAAUCCACUGGCCUCCAAAGUCAACUUUAGAAGACAAACUAUGUCAUAGAUUUAUAAUAAUAAAUAAAAAAGAUAAAUCAAAGUCUCAAUUGUGAUCAAGUCCAUUUAAUUCCAUAUUUACACUGUUUUCUUAAGGUGAGAAAUUAAGAAAGUAUAUAAAUCCUUAGUUCACAUGUAGAUAGGACAAUUUGCAGCACCCUGCUUAUUAAAGUUCUGAUGAAAUUCUCAUAGUUUCCAAAAGCUAGAGAAAACGGAAAAUGAUAUAAAAGUUUUUCCAAUCUUAAUUAUUUUCUUAUGGAAUCAAAGCACUCCUAAUGUUAAUGGCACUUUUGCUAAAGAUGUGCAUCAAGCGAGACAUGCACUAGGCGCAGGGGACAACACCAGCUCCCAUAAAAGGUAAUGUUAAUGGCAGUGUUGUUAAAGGCUCAGGGGAAAGCACCUUUGGAGGCAGGCAAGCUGGAAGUCGAAGAAGAAGAAGAAGAACCCUCUCUUCUCCUCGUGCUUUCCCUCUCUCCAUCUCUAUCUCCCUCUCCUCCCACCCAUUUGGGUUUUCUUUUUCAAAGUAAAAAGUAUGCCGCUCCCAUCUCUGUCUCUCUCUCCCCCCAACCACAUGGGUUUUCUGUUUUUCUGUUUCUUUGUAAAAACACCAUUGCUGCCUGCUGCUAUCUUAGUAGAGGGAAGACAGCUGUAACGUGGGUUUUUCUUUUGAAUUUGCAGCUACAGCCUUCUUCACCUCACAUUCAAUUUUCAUCUGUUGUUGAACCUGUGGCUGUGGGCAAUCUCUUUACUAAUAUAAAACAUCUCAUCCCUUCAUUCUGAGCUUCACUUUUAUUCUUUUGCCCUUCUUAAGUCUAAAAUAUAAGAAAAAGCAUAACAGAUCUAGAGAAUGACAGAUUAGCAGCAAAAAUAAAUGAUAAGAAGAAACCUAACAUCUUGUGAAACAAAGCUUAACGAUCCCAUUCCCAAGUCACUUAAUCAGAGGAACUAGUGAGCGAGCAGUACCCACAAUUUCUUCUCUAUCUACUUAAGUCAGCAACAGGUUCAUACCUAAACUUAAAACUAGUGCAUGAAGAUUAAAGCAAAAAUACACACAAAAUUUCUAUUAAAAAAAGAAAAGAAAAUAAAAAGAGAGCAACUUCUGAAGAAAAAUUCUUCACUCAAGGUUCAACAAGCUUAACAAAAACAUCAAAACAAACUAAAAUUUCUCUGCGUCAUAAUUAAAAAAAAAAAAUGAAAAGGAAAACGCUACCUAGGACUCCUCAUGCUGCUCCAUGGAAACUUGGCCUUCUCCACCGUGGAGUCACGAACACCACCGGGACCUCGCCCAGUUGCCUUCUCAUACCCAAUCCUUUCUUCCUUCUUCCCGUCAAGCCAAUGCUUUUUCCCUUCGCCAUCUUCCAUAACACUAGACCUCCUCUGCUUGUUCUUUCUCUCCUUCUCCUCCUCAAUAACCCUCAAUGGAAACAGAUCCGGAGAUAUCGAAAGCGGGUUUCUCAAAGUCACAUAGGCCUUUUUGUAGUCAGGUUUGGCGAUUAGUAAUCCGCGUAUUUUCUUCUUCUUGCCUUCCAUGUUGAGAGUACGGACCUUGUCGACUUCAAACCCGUAAAGGGACUCGAGGACGCGCUUGAUUUCGAUCUUGGAAGCGGAAGGAACAGUUUUCAAGGCAAUUUCUUUGAUGUUGUUGAAGCUUGUAGGCAUUAGGAGCUUGAUCGGGAGGUUUGCGAAGUGAACUACUCUUCUUCCUAGUCUGCUCCCCAUCUGUUUGUGUUUUUGCUCCUUCAGCCGUUCAAAUGAAAAGGAGCGUUUAACCGGUGUUGCUUUUCACCGCACGUGCUUCCCCCAAAUGAGUAACGAGUCUUGAAGAUGGGCUUUGAGCUGGACUUAUGUUCACAAUAAUGGGCCGGAAUGGAUUCACUUGUUGCUAGUAAU
rnacentral:misc_RNA from 1 species